GGAAUCUUUCGUUGAAUGCGCGCA
rnacentral:siRNA from 1 species